ACCUCCAGGGAGACCCAUUGUUUCCAGUUCCAAUUCCAUUCUGGAACCCCUUGCCAUCUAUGUGGAUUCAUUUUUGAAACCGUUUGUGUUCAAAACAAAAUCAUAUAUUCGGGAUACUAAGGACCUCAUCAGACAGUUAGAAGGGGUCAGUAUUCCUCAAGGAUCCCUUAUAGCAACGCUGGAUGUUUCCUCUUUGUAUACCAGCAUACCUUUAGAGGAGGCCAGAAUGGUUGUAGAGAGAAUAUUGGAAACCAGGUACAAUAAGGAUCCUCCCACAUAUUUUCUGUUGGAACUAGUGGACCUCAUUUUGGAUAAGAAUUACUUUAGGUUUGAGGACCAAUUUUAUUUUCAAAUCAAGGGUGUUGCUAUGGGCAGUUCUGUAGCCCCAAUGUGGCCAAUCUGUUUAUGUCUGCUUUGGAAGAUACAUUUAUCUGGAAUGAGACAGCUAACCCGUUUUUUGCUGGGAUUUUCAUACAGUGUGUGACUGAAUGAUGGCUUGUCGGUGAGAGUAUUUAACUCCUGUUUCAAGCACCAUUCAUCAAGGAACGUAGCUUGUCUAAGCAGGCAUGUUGGUGAGGUGCCGCAUUUAGGACAAGGCUUUUCCAGACUGAAGAUUUGUAGACUUCUGAUGAAGAUUCUUAUGAAACAGUUCAUUACCUAGGAUGUCUGUCAGCUCUACUUUCAAGAUCACUGUGCUUGGAUUCAGACUCCAGCUUCAUCUUCAAGAUUUUCAUGCUUCAGAUUCCAGCUUCUUUUGCAAGAUUUUUGUGCUCAGCCUUUAGGCGAAGGGUUGCUGGGGUGGAGUGCUACACUUCGCUUGGUUUAUGACCACAUUUCAACAUAGCAGCACCACCUUCGUGCACGAUGAACUUCAGUGACUGCGGCUUAUUGUACUUGUUAUAUUGUAUGGAGCAUGUACAGCCCUCAUUACUGUAUUUAUCAUACUUAUCACAGGGGUACCUGUGAUUUAUUGCCAUUACAUUUCUAUUCUUUCACCA